UUAGUCUGAUAGUAACAAAAC
ensembl:piRNA 21ur-60 ncRNA